UAGGGAAUCUUCCGCAAUGGGCGAAAGCUUGACGGAGCAACGCCGCGUGAGUGAUGAAGGUCUUCGGAUCGUAAAACUCUGUUAUUAGGGAAGAACAAAUGGGUAAGUAACUAUGCACGUCUUGACGGUACCUAAUCAGAAAGCCACGGCUAACUACGUGCCAGCAGUCGCGGUAAUACGUAGGUGGCAAGCGUUAUCCGGAAUUAUUGGGCGUAAAGCGCGCGUAGGCGGUUUUUUAAGUCUGAUGUGAAAGCCCACGGCUCAACCGUGGAGGGUCAUUGGAAACUGGAAAACUUGAGUGCAGAAGAGGAAAGUGGAAUUCCAUGUGUAGCAGUGAAAUGCGCAGAGAUAUGGAGGAACACCAGUGGCGAAGGCGACUUUCUGGUCUGUAACUGACGCUGAUGUGCGAAAGCGUGGGGAUCAAACAGG
rnacentral:rRNA from 1 species